CGUUAGAUUUAAAAUGACAGAGCACUUGCUAUUUAUUUAUGAGAAAAGGGUCAAAUAUGCCUCUAAACUAUUCGAAAAGGUCAUAUACCCUCCGUUUAAAAUUUGGUUCCUCCCCGUCCAACAAUUCGCUCAAAUAUGCCCUUAUGGGCGUUAGUUGGUAUGUUGAACGUAUCCAAUUUAUUUUUCAUUUCUUUAAAUGCCACAUGGAAUUGUCAUGUCAUUUUGACCUUACCACAUGGCAUUUAUAUGAAAAUGAAAAGGGAUAGGGACCUAUAAACACAUAAUUUGACCCAUAAAUCAACCCCCUUUUAAAUAAAAUAUCGGACCCAUUUUUGACAGUUUUGUUAAUUUUUAUUUUUUUGGUAAAUCUCGAAAAUGAGUAAUUGAUUAAUAAAAAAUAGGAAAAAUAUGAAUAUAUAUAUAUAUAUAUAUAUAUAUAAAAUCCCGGAAUGAUUGGGCGCAAAGCGUCUGUAGGUGGCUUUUUAAGUCCGGCGUCAAAUCCCAAGGCUCAACCCUGGACAGGCGGUGGAAACUACAAAGCUGGAGUAUGGUAGGGGCAGAGGGAAUAUCCGGUGGAGCGGUGAAAUGCGUAGAGAUCGAAAAGAACACCAACGGCGAAAGCACUCUACUGGGCAGACACUGACACUGAGAGACAAAAGAUAGGGGAGCAAAUAGGAUUAGAUACCCCAUAGUCCUAGCCAUAAACGAUGGAUACUAGGCGUUGUGCGUAUUCCAUGCAGUGUUGUAGCUAACGCUUUAGGUAUCCCGCCUGGGGAGUACGUUCGCAAGAAUGAAACUCAAAGGAAUUGAUGGGGGGCCUGCACAAACGGUGGAGCAUGUGGUUUAAUUCGAUACAACACGCAAAACCUUACCAGGGCUUGACAUGCUCCGAAUCCUCUUGAAAGAGAGGGGUGCCUUCGAGAACGCGGACACAGGUGGUGCAUGGGUGUCGUCAGCUCGUGUCGUAAGGUGUUGGGUUAAGUCCCGCAAUGAGCGCAACCCUCGUGUUUAGUUUCCAUUGUUGAGUUUGGAACCCUGAACAGACUGCCAGCGAUAAGCCGGAGGAAGGUGAGGAUAACGUCAAGUCAUCAUGCCCCUUAUGCCCUGGGCGACACACGUGCUACAAUGGCCGGGACAAUGGGUCGCGAUCCCGCGAGGGUGAGCUAACCCCAAAAACCCGUCCUCAGUUCGGAUUGCAGGCUGCAACUCGCUUGCGUGAAGCCGAAAUCGUUAGUAAUCGCCGGUCAGCCAUACGGCGGUGAAUUCGUUCCCGGGCCUUUGUACACACCGCCCGUCCACUAUGCAUAUAUACAUAUAUAUAUAUAUAUACAUAUGUAUAUAUAUAUAUAUAUAUAAACCUUAAAUGCAACAAUUCCA
rnacentral:rRNA from 1 species